AAAAGAAACCCUACAGGGAGGAUGUUCUAUUCUUCAGAAGCCAACACGAAUCGGAUUGUGGAACCAGACUGUUCGUGAACGAGUAAAAGAAAAAAAUCCCUUAAAAUCACCUCGUCAGGAUAUGUAAAGGAUGCAAAUGGUGUUGGAAUCGACACCUAUUUCUCUUUAAUUCCACGUUUUGUGUAGCUGAACCGGAGAGGAAUAUUUGCCAUUCAAGUCUGUUAUAUUUUCAUCAGUCUCAAUCACGAGGUUGAUGUUAGAUUAACAAAGUUGCAACCACGUUUUAAGUAUCAACUAGAUUUGAACAAGAAUUAUGCACAAUCAACAUCAUUAAUUGGUAUCAGCAGUCUCUGGAUAUGUCCCGGAAAAAAGAAGACUUUUCUACCCAUAUGAGUAGGUAAGUCAGCAUCCAACGUCCUUGAACAAAAAAAAAACACUUGGUGAAAAGGUCGGCUUCUACCUGUGUGGUGUAUGAAGAACUCCUGCCAUCUCUUUCCCCGGAAAACUUUUAAUUGUAGUCUCUGUUGAAACCAUAUUGAAUAAGUAAUUUUAAUUCAUUAAUUCAUCCUAUACUACCAUGACCAUCUUUGAUUCAUUUGGUGAUGGUAAUUCUCCCUUCUUUUUGGAUAACCCCCUUUCAGCUGUUAAGACAUGGUCCUACAAUACUACAAGGUUUGGACAGCAAAACCUUAGAUUCAGAGGCAUGUACUUUGUACUCAGGGUUAUUCUUCAUACUCAGGCUUGUUCUUCAUAUUCAUGAUUAUUUUGUGUGGUAUGCACUCCUGAAGCAUCGAAGUCAACAGAUGUUGUGGCCAUGUCACUUAUUUUCUAGUAAUCAUGCUCAUAAACCUGAUGACUAGUUUCUGAACUCCCAAUAAUCAGGGCUUUAUUGAAGUCAUAUCAAGAGGUAAGGAAAAUGCUCUGAUUAGAGCAUCCUCCACAUCACCCUAAGGAGUCAGGUCAUACUGCCUGAUACAAUUCAAGCAUCUGUCCCUCUCAGUGGUUUUGAGACUAAACAAUGUUUUGGUGCUGCACAUCUCACCUCUUUUUCAGAGAAGAUACAUUAAGGUAAAAAAAAAACUAUUCCUAAAGUAAGGACUCACUGCACUGAAUAAGUCUCCUAAUCAACUGUUGCUUGCUGUAUGCUACAGCAACUCUUGUUCUACAGGUUCUAGUUCCUCAUUGGACGAGUGGGUUGCGUACCAGCCUAUCAAUUUGGUAGCCAGAGUUCGGUCGCCACCAGCGCGGAACCAGAGGAAUUUAUCUUUGGUGAUUAGAAAUUCAUUUCUCGAUAUAAUGUGGUUCGGAUCUCAUAAUAAGCUGUAGGUCCCGUUGUUCGGUAGCCAAUUGGUUCCUACCACUAAAAAAAAAAAAAAAAAAAAAAAAAAAAAAAAAAAAAAAAUCUACUCAUCGGGCCAGCCAUAGGAAAGCUGUUAAUCAGCUCAGUGGUCUGGCUACACUUAUACUUUUUUUUGUUUUUUUUACAGGUUCUAAUUUUUCAUAGACAUCAGCUGUCCCAGGUGUUAUAUGUCACCACUCUCACAGCUCUGCUGACUCACACCACCUGGCUUGGUCUCCUUUUCCUGUGCCACUUGGCCCAGCCUCUUCACGUUGUCACUAGGCUACCUCUUGCCAUGUAUU